rnacentral:rRNA from 1 species
GAUGAACGCUAGCUACAGGCUUAACACAUGCAAGUCGAGGGGCAUCAGGAACAAAGCUUGCUUUGUUUGCUGGCGACCGGCGCACGGGUGAGUAACGCGUAUCCGACCUACCCAUAACUCGGGCACAGCCGCUCGAAAGAGCGAUUGAUUCCCGAUAUGUCCUUGGAGUAGAUUCAAUGAUGAAAGAUUUAUCGGUUAUGGAUGGGGAUGCGUAAGAUUAGGUAGUAGGCGGGGUAACGGCCCACCUAGCCGACGAUCUUUAGGGGUUCUGAGAGGAAGGUCCCCCANACUGGUACUGAGACACGGGACCAGACUCCUACGGGAGGCAGCAGUGAGGAAUAUUGGUCAAUGGGC